CAGUCGCCGCGGGAACACGUAGGGUGCGAGCGUUAAUCGGAAUUACUGGGCGUAAAGCGUGCGCAGGCGGUUGUGUAAGACAGGUGUGAAAUCCCCGGGCUUAACCUGGGAACUGCGCUUGUGACUGCACGGCUAGAGUAUGGCAGAGGGGGGUGGAAUUCCACGUGUAGCAGUGAAAUGCGUAGAGAUCGGGAGGAACAUCAGUGGCGAAGGCGGCCAUCUGGGACAACACUGACGCUGAGGCACGAAAGCGUGGGGAGCAAACAGGAUUAGAUACCCCUGUAGUCCCUGUCUCUUAUAC
rnacentral:rRNA from 1 species